CGGCGGACGGGUGAGUAACGCGUGGGUAACCUACCCUGUACACACGGAUAACAUACCGAAAGGUAUGCUAAUACGGGAUAAUAUAUUUGAGAGGCAUCUCUUGAAUAUCAAAGGUGGGCCAGUACAGGAUGGACCCGCGUCUGAUUAGCUAGUUGGUAAGGUGACGGCUUACCAAGGCGACGAUCAGUAGCCGACCUGAGAGGGUGAUCGGCCACAUUGGAACUGAGACACGGUCCAA
rnacentral:rRNA from 1 species